AUAGGGUCAAGUGAAUAAGUGCAUCAGGCGGAUGCCUUGGCGAUGAUAGGCGACGAAGGACGUGUAAGCCUGCGAAAAGCGCGGGGGAGCUGGCAAUAAAGCUAUGAUUCCGCGAUGUCCGAAUGGGGAAACCCACUGCAUUCUGUGCAGUAUCCUAAGUUGAAUACAUAGGCUUAGAGAAGCGAACCCGGAGAACUGAACCAUCUAAGUACCCGGAGGAAAAGAAAUCAACCGAGAUUCCGCAAGUAGUGGCGAGCGAACGCGGAGGAGCCUGUACGUAAUAACUGUCGAGAUAGAAGAACAAGCUGGGAAGCUUGACCAUAGCGGGUGACAGUCCCGUAUUCGAAAUCUCAACAGCGGUACUAAGCGUACGAAAAGUAGGGCGGGACACGUGAAAUCCUGUCUGAAUAUGGGGGGACCAUCCUCCAAGGCUAAAUACUCAUCAUCGACCGAUAGUGAACCAGUACCGUGAGGGAAAGGCGAAAAGAACCCCGGGAGGGGAGUGAAACAGAACCUGAAACCUGAUGCAUACAAACAGUGGGAGCGCCCUAGUGGUGUGACUGCGUACCUUUUGUAUAAUGGGUCAACGACUUACAUUCAGUAGCGAGCUUAACCGGAUAGGGGAGGCGUAGGGAAACCGAGUCUUAAUAGGGCGAUGAGUUGCUGGGUGUAGACCCGAAACCGAGUGAUCUAUCCAUGGCCAGGUUGAAGGUGCCGUAACAGGUACUGGAGGACCGAACCCACGCAUGUUGCAAAAUGCGGGGAUGAGCUGUGGGUAGGGGUGAAAGGCUAAACAAACUCGGAGAUAGCUGGUUCUCCCCGAAAACUAUUUAGGUAGUGCCUCGAGCAAGACACUGAUGGGGGUAAAGCACUGUUAUGGCUAGGGGGUUAUUGCAACUUACCAACCCAUGGCAAACUCAGAAUACCAUCAAGUGGUUCCUCGGGAGACAGACAGCGGGUGCUAACGUCCGUUGUCAAGAGGGAAACAACCCAGACCGCCGGCUAAGGUCCCAAAUGAUAGAUUAAGUGGUAAACGAAGUGGGAAGGCACAGACAGCCAGGAUGUUGGCUUAGAAGCAGCCAUCAUUUAAAGAAAGCGUAAUAGCUCACUGGUCGAGUCGUCCUGCGCGGAAGAUGUAACGGGGCUCAAAUCUAUAACCGAAGCUGCGGAUGCCGGUUUACCGGCAUGGUAGGGGAGCGUUCUGUAGGCUGAUGAAGGUGCAUUGUAAAGUGUGCUGGAGGUAUCAGAAGUGCGAAUGUUGACAUGAGUAGCGAUAAAGCGGGUGAAAAGCCCGCUCGCCGAAAAGCCCAAGGUUUCCUACGCAACGUUCAUCGGCGUAGGGUAAGUCGGCCCCUAAGGCGAGGCAGAAAUGCGUAGUCGAUGGGAAACAGGUUAAUAUUCCUGUACUUGAUUCAAAUGCGAUGUGGGGACGGAGAAGGUUAGGUUGGCAAGCUGUUGGAAUAGCUUGUUUAAGCCGGUAGGUGGAAGACUUAGGCAAAUCCGGGUUUUCUUAACACCGAGAAGUGAUGACGAGUGUCUACGGACACGAAGCAACCGAUACCACGCUUCCAGGAAAAGCCACUAAGCUUCAGUUUGAAUCGAACCGUACCGCAAACCGACACAGGUGGGCAGGAUGAGAAUUCUAAGGCGCUUGAGAGAACUCGGGAGAAGGAACUCGGCAAAUUGAUACCGUAACUUCGGGAGAAGGUAUGCCCUCUAAGGUUAAGGACUUGCUCCGUAAGCCCCGGAGGGUCGCAGAGAAUAGGUGGCUGCGACUGUUUAUUAAAAACACAGCACUCUGCCAACACGAAAGUGGACGUAUAGGGUGUGACGCCUGCCCGGUCCCGGAAGGUUAAUUGAAGAUGUGCAAGCAUCGGAUCGAAGCCCCGGUAAACGGCGGCCGUAACUAUAACGGUCCUAAGGUAGCGAAAUUCCUUGUCGGGUAAGUUCCGACCCGCACGAAUGGCGUAACGAUGGCCACACUGUCUCCUCCCGAGACUCAGCGAAGUUGAAGUGGUUGUGAAGAUGCAAUCUACCCGCUGCUAGACGGAAAGACCCCGUGAACCUUUACUGUAGCUUUGCAUUGGACUUUGAAGUCACUUGUGUAGGAUAGGUGGGAGGCUUGGAAGCAGAGACGCCAGUCUCUGUGGAGUCGUCCUUGAAAUACCACCCUGGUGUCUUUGAGGUUCUAACCCAGACCCGUCAUCCGGGUCGGGGACCGUGCAUGGUAGGCAGUUUGACUGGGGCGGUCUCCUCCCAAAGCGUAACGGAGGAGUUCGAAGGUUACCUAGGUCCGGUCGGAAAUCGGACUGAUAGUGCAAUGGCAAAAGGUAGCUUAACUGCGAGACCGACAAGUCGGGCAGGUGCGAAAGCAGGACAUAGUGAUCCGGUGGUUCUGUAUGGAAGGGCCAUCGCUCAACGGAUAAAAGGUACUCCGGGGAUAACAGGCUGAUUCCGCCCAAGAGUUCAUAUCGACGGCGGAGUUUGGCACCUCGAUGUCGGCUCAUCACAUCCUGGGGCUGUAGUCGGUCCCAAGGGUAUGGCUGUUCGCCAUUUAAAGUGGUACGUGAGCUGGGUUUAAAACGUCGUGAGACAGUUUGGUCCCUAUCUGCAGUGGGCGUUGGAAGUUUGACGGGGGCUGCUCCUAGUACGAGAGGACCGGAGUGGACGAACCUCUGGUGUACCGGUUGUAACGCCAGUUGCAUAGCCGGGUAGCUAAGUUCGGAAGAGAUAAGCGCUGAAAGCAUCUAAGCGCGAAACUCGCCUGAAGAUGAGACUUCCCUUGCGGUUUAACCGCACUAAAGGGUCGUUCGAGACCAGGACGUUGAUAGGUGGGGUGUGGAAGCGCGGUAACGCGUGAAGCUAACCCAUACUAAUUGCCCGUGAGGCUUGACUCUAU
rnacentral:rRNA from 1 species